rnacentral:ncRNA from 1 species
CUAUAAUUCUCCGAGCCAGGAAGCUAAGGGCUUGGCCUAGGCAACCUGGCCGUUAGGGUUCAGCUGGAAACGGCUGUGCCUCCCAUAUCGGAAAGGAGAAUUUGGG